UACGGAGGGGGCUAGCGUUGUUCGGAAUUACUGGGCGUAAAGCGCGCGUAGGCGGCUUUGUAAGUUAGAGGUGAAAGCCCAGGGCUCAACCCUGGAAUUGCCUUCGAUACUGUUUGGCUAGAGACCGGAAGAGGUAAGUGGAACUGCGAGUGUAGAGGUGAAAUUCGUAGAUAUUCGCAAGAACACCAGUGGCGAAGGCGGCUUACUGGUCCGGUUCUGACGCUGAGGCGCGAAAGCGUGGGGAGCAAACAGG
rnacentral:rRNA from 1 species